rnacentral:rRNA from 1 species
AUAUUAAUAAGCGGAGGAAGAGAAACUAACAAGGAUUCCUAGAUUGAAUCGGGUGUUCCUAACGGACUCUCCGAGUUGUAAUCUUACGAAUGUGUUCAACCACGUGGACCCGGGCAUAACCAUUUGGAAUAAAGGUGUUCAUAGAGGGUGAGAAUCCCGUCUAUGACUCGGUGUUCGCUGUGUUUGAUCAUGUGUUCUUAGAGUAGAGUAGGAUGGCAUUCUGCUCGAAGAGGGUGGUAAACUUCAUCUAAAGCUAAAUACCGGCCAGAGACCGAUAGCGCACAAGUA